rnacentral:rRNA from 1 species
AUUCAGAGAUGGAUUUGUGCCUUCGGGAACCGUGAGACAGGUGCUGCAUGGCUGUCGUCAGCUCGUGUUGUGAAAUGUUGGGUUAAGUCCCGCAACGAGCGCAACCCUUAUCCUUUGUUGCCAGCGAUUCGGUCGGGAACUCAAAGGAGACUGCCAGUGAUAAACUGGAGGAAGGUGGGGAUGACGUCAAGUCAUCAUGGCCCUUACGACCAGGGCUACACACGUGCUACAAUGGCGCAUACAAAGAGAAGCGACCUCGCGAGAGCAAGCGGACCUCAUAAAGUGCGUCGUAGUCCGGAUUGGAGUCUGCAACUCGACUCCAUGAAGUCGGAAUCGCUAGUAAUCGUGGAUCAGAAUGCCACGGUGAAUACGUUCCCGGGCCUUGUACACACCGCCCGUCACACCAUGGGAGUGGGUUGCAAAAGAAGUAGGUAGCUUAACCUUCGGGAGGGCGCUUACCACUUUGUGAUUCAUGACUGGGGUGAAGUCGUAACAAGGUAACCGUAGGGGAACCUGCGGUUGGAUCACCUCCUUACCUUAAAGAAGC